rnacentral:misc_RNA from 1 species
GAUGAAGAACGCAGCGAAAUGCGAUAAGUAAUGUGAAUUGCAGAAUUCAGUGAAUCAUCGAAUCUUUGAACGCACAUUGCGCCCCCUGGUAUUCCAUGGGGCAUGCCUGUUCGAGCGUCAUUUGUACCUUCAAGCUCUGCUUGGUGUUGGGUGUUUGUCUCGCCUCUGCGUGUAGACUCGCCUCAAAACAAUUGGCAGCCGGCGUAUUGAUUUCGGAGCGCAGUACAUCUCGCGCUUUGCACUCAUAACGACGACGUCCAAAAGUACAUUUUUACACUCUUGACCUCGGAUCAGGUAGGGAUACCCGCUGAACUUAAGCAUAUCAAUAAGCGGAGGA